AUUGAACGCUAGCGGGAUGCCUUACACAUUCAAGCCGAACGGAGUGGCGCACGGGUGCGUAAUGUAUCGGAACGUGCCCAGUAGCGGGGGAUAACUACGCCAAAGCGUAGCUAAUACCGCAUACUCUUGGCGUGGCCGAUAUCGGAGUAGCUAGUUGGUGGGGUAACGGCUCACCAAGGCGUCGAUCCGUAGCUGGUUUGAGAGGACGACCAGCCACACUGGGACUGAGACACGGCCCAGACUCCUACGGGAGGCAGCAGUGGGGAAUUUUGGACAAUGGGGGAAACCCUGAUCCAGCCAUGCCGCGUGUGCGAUGAAGGCCUGCGGGUUGUAAAGCACUUUUGGCAGGAAAGCGGUACCUGCAGAAGAAGCACCGGCUAACUACGUGCCAGCAGCCGCGGUAAUUC
rnacentral:rRNA from 1 species